UACGUAGGGCGCAAGCGUUGUCCGGAAUUAUUGGGCGUAAAGAGCUCGUAGGCGGUUUGUCACGUCGGGUGUGAAAGCCCACAGCUUAACUGUGGGUCUGCAUUCGAUACGGGCAGACUAGAGGCAGGUAGGGGAGAACGGAAUUCCCGGUGUAGCGGUGAAAUGCGCAGAUAUCGGGAGGAACACCGGUGGCGAAGGCGGUUCUCUGGGCCUGUACUGACGCUGAGGAGCGAAAGCGUGUGGAGCGAACAGG
rnacentral:rRNA from 1 species